rfam:TPA: Bos taurus chromosome 15, whole genome shotgun sequence.
UCCCUGGCAGUCCAGUGGUUAAGACUCCAGGCUUUUACCACCUGGAGCGAGGGUUCAAACCCUUGUCAGGGAA